AGGAAUAUUGGUCAAUGGACGAGAGUCUGAACCAGCCAAGUAGCGUGAAGGAUGAAGGUUCUAUGGAUUGUAAACUUCUUUUAUACGGGAAUAAACGGAUCCACGUGUGGAUUUUUGCAUGUACCGUAUGAAUAAGGAUCGGCUAACUCCGUGCCAGCAGCCGCGGUAAUACGGAGGAUCCGAGCGUUAUCCGGAUUUAUUGGGUUUAAAGGGAGCGUAGAUGGGUUGUUAAGUCAGUUGUGAAAGUUUGCGGCUCAACCGUAAAAUUGCAAUUGAUACUGGCAGUCUUGAGUACAGUUGAGGUAGGCGGAAUUCGUGGUGUAGCGGUGAAAUGCUUAGAUAUCACGAAGAACUCCGAUUGCGAAGGCAGCUUACUAACCUGUAACUGACAUUGAUGCUCGAAAGUGUGGGUAUCAAACAGGAUUAGAUACCCUGGUAGUCCACACGGUAAACGAUGAAUACUCGCUGUAGGCGAUAUACAGUCUGCGGCCAAGCGAAAGCAUUAAGUAUUCCACCUGGGGAGUACGCCGGCAACGGUGAAACUCAAAGGAAUUGACGGGGGCCCGCACAAGCGGAGGAACAUGUGGUUUAAUUCGAUGAUACGCGAGGAACCUUACCCGGGCUUAAAUUGCAACCGAAUAUGGCGGAAACGCUAUAGCUAGCAAUAGCGGUUGUGAAGGUGCUGCAUGGUUGUCGUCAGCUCGUGCCGUGAGGUGUCGGCUUAAGUGCCAUAACGAGCGCAACCCUUGCCGAUAGUUACUAACAGGUUAUGCUGAGGACUCUGUCGGGACUGCCAUCGUAAGAUGUGAGGAAGGUGGGGAUGACGUCAAAUCAGCACGGCCCUUACGUCCGGGGCUACACACGUGUUACAAUGGGGGGUACAGAGGGCUGCUACCACGCAAGUGGAUGCCAAUCCCAAAAACCUCUCUCAGUUCGGACUGGAGUCUGCAACCCGACUCCACGAAGCUGGAUUCGCUAGUAAUCGCGCAUCAGCCACGGCGCGGUGAAUACGUUCCCG
rnacentral:rRNA from 1 species